GGGUUGUGAGGUUAAGCGACUAAGCGUACACGGUGGAUGCCCUGGCAGUCAGAGGCGAUGAAGGACGUGCUAAUCUGCGAUAAGCGUCGGUAAGGUGAUAUGAACCGUUAUAACCGGCGAUUUCCGAAUGGGGAAACCCAGUGUGUUUCGACACACUAUCAUUAACUGAAUCCAUAGGUUAAUGAGGCGAACCGGGGAACUGAAACAUCUAAGUACCCCGAGGAAAAGAAAUCAACCGAGAUUCCCCCAGUAGCGGCGAGCGAACGGGGAGCAGCCCAGAGCCUGAAUCAGUGUGUGUGUUAGUGGAAGCGUCUGGAAAGGCGCGCGAUACAGGGUGACAGCCCCGUACACAAAAAUGCACAUGCUGUGAGCUCGAUGAGUAGGGCGGGACACGUGGUAUCCUGUCUGAAUAUGGGGGGACCAUCCUCCAAGGCUAAAUACUCCUGACUGACCGAUAGUGAACCAGUACCGUGAGGGAAAGGCGAAAAGAACCCCGGCGAGGGGAGUGAAAAAGAACCUGAAACCGUGUACGUACAAGCAGUGGGAGCACGCUUAGGCGUGUGACUGCGUACCUUUUGUAUAAUGGGUCAGCGACUUAUAUUCUGUAGCAAGGUUAACCGAAUAGGGGAGCCGAAGGGAAACCGAGUCUUAACUGGGCGUUAAGUUGCAGGGUAUAGACCCGAAACCCGGUGAUCUAGCCAUGGGCAGGUUGAAGGUUGGGUAACACUAACUGGAGGACCGAACCGACUAAUGUUGAAAAAUUAGCGGAUGACUUGUGGCUGGGGGUGAAAGGCCAAUCAAACCGGGAGAUAGCUGGUUCUCCCCGAAAGCUAUUUAGGUAGCGCCUCGUGAAUUCAUCUCCGGGGGUAGAGCACUGUUUCGGCAAGGGGGUCAUCCCGACUUACCAACCCGAUGCAAACUGCGAAUACCGGAGAAUGUUAUCACGGGAGACACACGGCGGGUGCUAACGUCCGUCGUGAAGAGGGAAACAACCCAGACCGCCAGCUAAGGUCCCAAAGUCAUGGUUAAGUGGGAAACGAUGUGGGAAGGCCCAGACAGCCAGGAUGUUGGCUUAGAAGCAGCCAUCAUUUAAAGAAAGCGUAAUAGCUCACUGGUCGAGUCGGCCUGCGCGGAAGAUGUAACGGGGCUAAACCAUGCACCGAAGCUGCGGCAGCGACGCUGAUGCGUUGUUGGGUAGGGGAGCGUUCUGUAAGCCUGUGAAGGUGUGCUGUGAGGCAUGCUGGAGGUAUCAGAAGUGCGAAUGCUGACAUAAGUAACGAUAAAGCGGGUGAAAAGCCCGCUCGCCGGAAGACCAAGGGUUCCUGUCCAACGUUAAUCGGGGCAGGGUGAGUCGACCCCCUAAGGCGAGGCCGAAAGGCGUAGUCGAUGGGAAACAGGUUAAUAUUCCUGUACUUGGUGUUACUGCGAAGGGGGGACGGAGAAGGCUAUGUUGGCCGGGCGACGGUUGUCCCGGUUUAAGCGUGUAGGCUGGUUUUCCAGGCAAAUCCGGAAAAUCAAGGCUGAGGCGUGAUGACGAGGCACUACGGUGCUGAAGCAACAAAUGCCCUGCUUCCAGGAAAAGCCUCUAAGCAUCAGGUAACAUCAAAUCGUACCCCAAACCGACACAGGUGGUCAGGUAGAGAAUACCAAGGCGCUUGAGAGAACUCGGGUGAAGGAACUAGGCAAAAUGGUGCCGUAACUUCGGGAGAAGGCACGCUGAUAUGUAGGUGAAGUCCCUCGCGGAUGGAGCUGAAAUCAGUCGAAGAUACCAGCUGGCUGCAACUGUUUAUUAAAAACACAGCACUGUGCAAACACGAAAGUGGACGUAUACGGUGUGACGCCUGCCCGGUGCCGGAAGGUUAAUUGAUGGGGUUAGCCGCAAGGCGAAGCUCUUGAUCGAAGCCCCGGUAAACGGCGGCCGUAACUAUAACGGUCCUAAGGUAGCGAAAUUCCUUGUCGGGUAAGUUCCGACCUGCACGAAUGGCGUAAUGAUGGCCAGGCUGUCUCCACCCGAGACUCAGUGAAAUUGAACUCGCUGUGAAGAUGCAGUGUACCCGCGGCAAGACGGAAAGACCCCGUGAACCUUUACUAUAGCUUGACACUGAACAUUGAGCCUUGAUGUGUAGGAUAGGUGGGAGGCUUAGAAGUGUGGACGCCAGUCUGCAUGGAGCCGACCUUGAAAUACCACCCUUUAAUGUUUGAUGUUCUAACGUUGACCCGUAAUCCGGGUUGCGGACAGUGUCUGGUGGGUAGUUUGACUGGGGCGGUCUCCUCCUAAAGAGUAACGGAGGAGCACGAAGGUUGGCUAAUCCUGGUCGGACAUCAGGAGGUUAGUGCAAUGGCAUAAGCCAGCUUGACUGCGAGCGUGACGGCGCGAGCAGGUGCGAAAGCAGGUCAUAGUGAUCCGGUGGUUCUGAAUGGAAGGGCCAUCGCUCAACGGAUAAAAGGUACUCCGGGGAUAACAGGCUGAUACCGCCCAAGAGUUCAUAUCGACGGCGGUGUUUGGCACCUCGAUGUCGGCUCAUCACAUCCUGGGGCUGAAGUAGGUCCCAAGGGUAUGGCUGUUCGCCAUUUAAAGUGGUACGCGAGCUGGGUUUAGAACGUCGUGAGACAGUUCGGUCCCUAUCUGCCGUGGGCGCUGGAGAACUGAGGGGGGCUGCUCCUAGUACGAGAGGACCGGAGUGGACGCAUCACUGGUGUUCGGGUUGUCAUGCCAAUGGCACUGCCCGGUAGCUAAAUGCGGAAGAGAUAAGUGCUGAAAGCAUCUAAGCACGAAACUUGCCCCGAGAUGAGUUCUCCCUGACUCCUUGAGAGUCCUGAAGGAACGUUGAAGACGACGACGUUGAUAGGCCGGGUGUGUAAGCGCAGCGAUGCGUUGAGCUAACCGGUACUAAUGAACCGUGAGGCUUAACCUUACAACGCCGAAGGUGUUU
rnacentral:rRNA from 1 species